rnacentral:rRNA from 1 species
AAACUUUCAACAACGGAACUCUUGGUUCUGGCAUCGAGAAGAACGCAGCGAAAUGCGAUAAGUAAUGUGAAACGCAGAAUUCAGUGAAUCAUCGAAUCUUUGAACGCACAUUGCGCCCGCCGGUAUUCCGGCGGGCAUGCCUGUCCGAGCGUCAUU